UGGCGACCGGCGCACGGGUGAGUAACACGUAUCCAACCUGCCGAUGACUCGGGGAUAGCCUUUCGAAAGAAAGAUUAAUACCCGAUGGCAUAGUUCUUCCGCAUGGUAGAACUAUUAAAGAAUUUCGGCCAUCGAUGGGGAUGCGUUCCAUUAGGUUGUUGGCGGGGUAACGGCCCACCAAGCCUUCGAUGGAUAGGGGUUCUGAGAGGAAGGUCCCCCACAUUGGAACUGAGACACGGUCCAA
rnacentral:rRNA from 1 species